UCACAGCAGAUACCUUUGGCAUAGAUACCUCGUGAGUACUUUUAUAAGAACUGGAUUUGAAAGUCAGAUCUGCCCCAUGAUGUCCAGUCCCUUUCCACAGCUUUGGAGAAGAAGUUGGGUUUCAUGUCUGCGCCUCAGUAUUACUUCUCAGAGUCCUUCAGGCAGUGACUAAGGAGAAAAACCAUGUCAUACAGUC
ensembl:snoRNA SNORA73 Small nucleolar RNA SNORA73 family